GGAUUGGGAUAUUCCGACUCCUUAAGGGCCUGGCGCACAUAAGGUGUGACCUUUUCAUUCCCGUUGUUAUGGAGAUUGCGUACCCACUGCAGAGUGCUGAAGACGGGGUAGCCACGAGUGCUCUGAUGAAAUCACUAAUAGGAAGUGCCGUCAGAAGCGAUAACUGACGAAGACUACUCCUGUCUGAUUGCAUGACUCCACAGUUUCUGCAACAACAGAGCCGGGGAAAGGAGGACGCAGCAAGCGCUGAAUAUUAACCAGCAAAGGUAGAUGCUUCAAUAUCGAAACCACCGGGACCCGCAUGUGCAAAGCUACUUAAUGAGGGUGUAAUCAAACACAGUCUACCAGAAGGAAAUUAAUUAGAGUCCGGAGAGCAAGCAGGAAGCAGAACCAGGCUGCUCCCCCUCCUGGCUCUAGAACAUCACUGGCAGCCACUGCUAAGGGAGGGACAAGGCUGGGGGAUGCCAGGCCUCAGCUGGGUGCCAGGGCUCCUGUCCUCUUCCCCGUGACAUUCCGGCUUGCCUUUGGGGGACACC
rnacentral:lncRNA from 1 species